GACGAACGCUGGCGGCGUGCUUAACACAUGCAAGUCGAACGGAAAGGCCCUGCAUCUGUGGGGUGCUCGAGUGGCGAACGUGUGAGUAACACGUGAGUAACCUGCCCUUGAUUUUGGGAUAACUUCAGGAAACUGGGGCUAAUACCGGAUAGGAGCUCCUGCUGCUUGGUGGGGGUUGGAAAGUUUCGGUGGAUGGGGAAGGAAUCGCGGCUUAUCAGCUUGGUGGUGUGGUAGUGGCUUGCCAAAGCGUUGACGGGUAGCCGGCCUGAGAUGGUGGCCGGACCCAUUAGAAUUGAGAUACGACACAGACUACACCCGGAGGCAAGAGUGGAGAGUAUAACACUGUAGGAUGAAGCCAGAUGCGAUGAAGCGGCGCGGGGUAAGACGGGCUGCAGGUUGUAAACUGCUGUCGCCUGUGACGAAGCGUGAGUGACGGUACUGGAUGAAGAAGCACCGGCUAACUACGUG
rnacentral:rRNA from 1 species